rnacentral:lncRNA from 1 species
CAUUACUACAAAACAUGUGGCCUCCUAUUCAUAGCAACCUGUAGUUCCUAUUAUAUUUGUUUGAAUUUGUAUUGAGUUGAAGAUCAAUUUUGAUAAAAGCUCAAUGAUUGAAAUAGGCUUAAGCCACAUAAUAGGAGAAUGGUAUGCCAAGCUAAUGGGGUGCAAAAAAUUAGACCUUUCAAUGAACUAUCUAGUUUUCUCCCUGUAAUAUCUAGCCUAUCAACUAAUUUAAAAUGGCCACACAAAUCUUAAAGCAAUGAAAAAAAUAAAAAAAAAAUAGAGAGAACUCUCGUUGGACUCCC